rnacentral:SRP_RNA from 1 species
UCGUGCUAGGCGGGGCGAUACCGGUGCCCUUUUCUCCAAACCCGGUUAUGGGAGACUGAAUUCCUGCCCUCGGGGCGCUUUCUUGCGGUUCUGGCGCACGCGCGCGGUGAUGAUGGACGGACCCGGCGCAACGGACAACCUCCGAACCUCGUCAGGUCGGGAACGAAGCAGCGAUAAGGUGUGCUGCCCGUGUGCCGUCCGGUGUUCUGACCGGAGCAGGCGGCGUCGCGUAACACGUGGGAAAACGAUUUCAACGGCAGGUGCACGA